CCGUUUGGCCGGGAUUUUGGCUCCGAUUUGGCCACUGGGGGGAUCAGCGUGGAAAAACGAGUCGGGGGUAUGAAUUUUACCUCGAUCGGCGGUCGGAAAUCCCUCCGGUGCGGCGGCGGGUGGCGGCGGCCGGCUUCUGGUUCGUCUUCUCCGGCGAGCGGCAGGCGGCUAGGGUUUGGGGUCUGGUGUGGGGGUUCUAUUUAUAACCCUUUGCCCUUUUGAUCUCAGCCGUCCAUUUUGAUU
rnacentral:lncRNA from 1 species